CUUUACCUCUGGCGGCAUGCUUUACACAUGCAAGUCGAACGGCAGCGAGGAGAAGCUUGCUUCUCUGUCGGCGAGUGGCGAACAGGUGAGUAUAGCAUCCGAACGUGCCAAGUAGUGGGGGAUAACCAAACGAAAGUUUGGCUAAUACCGCGUAAGCUCUAAGGAGGAAAGUAGGGGACCUAAAUAAGGCCUUACGCUAUUUGAUCGGCCGAUGUCGGAUUAGCUAGUUGGUGGGGUAAUGGCUCACCAAGGCAAUGAUCCGUAGCGGGUCUGAGAGGACGAUCCGCGACACUGGGACUGAGACACGGCCCAGACUCCUACGGGAGGCAGCAGUGGGGAAUUUUGGACAAUGGGGGAAACCCUGAUCCAGCCAUGCCGCGUGUAUGAAGAAGGCCUUAGGGUUGUAAAGUACUUUUGUUAGGGAAGAAAAGCUAGUUUUUAAUAAAAAUUAGUGAUGACGGUACCUAAAGAAUAAGCACCGGCUAACUACGUG
rnacentral:rRNA from 1 species